GCUGUCUCUCAUGGUUGUUUUCACUAAUUUCAGAGAAAUGGUCAGUGUCUUCUGAAAAAGUCCGUUAGCAUCUCAACUGUAAUGCUAACUACAAGAGAUUCUUCCAUGCUGAUGGCCGUGCGUGUAUCCAGCUGAAGAACAUUUUUAGACAUUAUGAAACAUAACUAAGUUUAGCUCCGACCCCAGUUAAGCAGACCAGAGCAGCUGAUCAAGGAUCAGCAGAAACUCUGCAGAACGGUGGUCCUCCAGCCCAGGACUGGACACCAGUGUUAUGCUGGAGAAAAAACAGUGAGGAUAAAGCAUUCAAAGUGGAAACAUCUGCCGUGGCUCAUUAAUCCUGAAUUGGGACGGAGGAAGGAGCAGAAGAAGAAGCAGCAGAUCAGAGAUCAGGCAGAGAUCUACUGGUGUCCCUGUGGGAACCCCAUUUACCUACUGUGUUUUUUAAACCAAAGAUUUCCCUCACUUAUCUUCAUAUUGUUCCAAGCCAGACUUUUGGUCAACUUUGAAACAUAAAUGCAGAACUUUUUAAUGAAAUCUGAGAAUUAUUUUAAAUAUAAAAUAACGCAUUCACACAAGCACCAUGAUGCAUCAGUGUUGCAUUGGCAUGAGAGCUGGCGCUUUUGGUGCUUUUGUGAAAAUCCAUUGGGGAUUCAUAAUUUCUGAAUAGAUAGUUUUUGCUGUUGUUGUUGU